rnacentral:SRP_RNA from 1 species
GGGCCGGAUAUUUCGGCGGUUUCUUUGACUACAAGCUGUAGGCGGCCGCUGGUGCCAGGGGCGCCAGCAUCUUCAUGGCGGGCAGAACGUUUUUUUAACAUUGGACUUUUGGCCACCGAGCCCU